rnacentral:misc_RNA from 1 species
GUCCAGUGUAACUGCAUCCCCAAAAUGGCUGUAAGCUGUCCUUGACCUUGCAUCAGCCCAAAAUACAUUGGCCAUGCAAUUAUCAUCAUCAAGUUGUAUUGCAUAAAAGAAACCAGGGUUUUCAGCCUGCAUUUUCUUGAAAUAUUCUAACAGAUUCUGUGCAUCCCUUCCCAGUGUCCUCCUUCGCGAAUUGGAUCUAACAGCAUAGUUCAAUGUUGCAGAAUUGUUAAUGACACGAUUUGAUUCUGCAGCAGGAGAGAUCCUAAGACCACGAUUUGCCUCUGCAGAUGCACGGUUUCCAUCCAUGGAUACAUACAUCACACCACUGGGUACAAUUCCAACUCCUUGGUAAGUUUCAGUGAUGCU